UGACCUACGGGGGGCAGCAGUAGGGAAUAUUGGACAAUGGGGGCAACCCUGAUCCAGCAAUGCCGCGUGAGUGAUGAAGGCCUUAGGGUUGUAAAGCUCUUUUACCCGGGAUGAUAAUGACAGUACCGGGAGAAUAAGCCCCGGCUAACUCCGUGCCAGCAGCCGCGGUAAUACGGAGGGGGCUAGCGUUGUUCGGAAUUACUGGGCGUAAAGCGCACGUAGGCGGCGAUUUAAGUCAGAGGUGAAAGCCCGGGGCUCAACCCCGGAAUAGCCUUUGAGACUGGAUUGCUUGAACAUCGGAGAGGUGAGUGGAAUUCCGAGUGUAGAGGUGAAAUUCGUAGAUAUUCGGAAGAACACCAGUGGCGAAGGCGGCUCACUGGACGAUUGUUGACGCUGAGGUGCGAAAGCGUGGGGAGCAAACAGGAUUAGAUACCCCUGUAGUC
rnacentral:rRNA from 1 species